rnacentral:rRNA from 1 species
GUGGGGAAUCUUGCGCAAUGGGCGAAAGUCUGACGCAGCCAUGCCGCGUGAAUGAUGAAGGUCUUAGGAUUGUAAAAUUCUUUCACCGGGGACGAUAAUGACGGUACCCGGAGAAGAAGCCCCGGCUAACUUCGUGCCAGCAGCCGCGGUAAUACGAAGGGGGCUAGCGUUGCUCGGAAUUACUGGGCGUAAAGGGCGCGUAGGCGGACAGUUUAGUCAGAGGUGAAAGCCCAGGGCUCAACCUUGGAAUUGCCUUUGAUACUGGCUGUCUUGAGUACGGGAGAGGUGAGUGGAACUCCGAGUGUAGAGGUGAAAUUCGUAGAUAUUCGGAAGAACACCAGUGGCGAAGGCGACAUACUGGCUCAUUACUGACGCUGAGGCGCGAAAGCGUGGGGAGCAAACAGGAUUAGAUACCCCUGUAGUCC